rnacentral:rRNA from 1 species
UGCAGUCGAGCGGACUUGAUGAGAAUCUUGCUUCUCUGAUGGUUAGCGGCGGACGGGUGAGUAACACGUAGGCAACCUGCCCUCAAGCUUGGGACAACUACCGGAAACGGUACCUAAUACCGAAUACUUGUUUUCUUCGCCUGAAGGCAACUGGAAAGACGGAGCAAUCUGUCACUUGAGGAUGGGCCUGCGGCGCAUUAGCUAGUUGGUGAGGUAACGGCUCACCAAGGCGACGAUGCGUAGCCGACCUGAGAGGGUGAUCGGCCACACUGGGACUGACACACGGCCCAAACUCCUACGGGAGGCAGCAAUAGGGAAUCUUCCGCAAUGGGCGAAACCCUGAGGGAGCAAUGCCGCGUGAGUGAUGAAGGUUUUCGGAUCGUAAAGCUCUGUUGCCAGGGAAAAACGCUUAUGAUAUUAACUGCUCCUGAGGUGACGGUACCUGAAAAUAAAGCCCCGGCUAACUACGUGCCAGCAGCCGCGGUAAUACAUACGGGGCAAGCGUUGUCCGGAAUUAUUGGGCGUAAAGCGCGCGCAGGCGGUCAUUUAAGUCUGGGUGUUUAAUCCCGGGGGCUCACCCCCGGAUCGCACUGGAAACUGGGUGACUUGAGUGCAAAAGAGGAGAGUGAAAUUCCACGUGUAGCGGUGAAAUGCGUAGAGAUGUGAGGACACCAGUGGCGAAUGCGACUCUCUGGGCUGUACUGACGCUGAGGCGCGAAAGC